rnacentral:rRNA from 1 species
AUUGAACGCUGGAGGCAUGCUUUACACAUGCAAGUCGAACGGUAACAGGGUGCUUGCACCGCUGACGAGUGGCGAACGGGUGAGUAAUGCGUCGGAACGUGCCGAGUAGUGGGGGAUAACGCAGCGAAAGUUGUACUAAUACCGCAUACGUACUGAGGUAGAAAGUGGGGGACCUUCGGGCCUCACGCUAUUCGAGCGGCCGACGUCUGAUUAGCUAGUAGGUGAGGUAAAGGCUCACCUAGGCGACGAUCAGUAGCGGGUCUGAGAGGAUGAUCCGCCACACUGGGACUGAGACACGGACCAGACUCCUACGGGAGGCAGCAGUGGGGAAUGUUGGACAAUGGGCGAAAGCCUGAUCCAGCCAUGCCGCGUGUCUGAAGAAGGCCUUCGGGUUGUAAAGGACUUUUGUCAGGGAGGAAAUCCCUAGUGCUAAUAACACUGGGGGAUGACAGUACCUGAAGAAUAAGCACCGGCUAACUACGUGCCAGCCGCCGCCGUAA